CCGCGUGGAGGUAGAAGGCCCACGGGUCGUGAACUUCUUUUCCCGGAGAAGAAGCAAUGACGGUAUCUGGGGAAUAAGCAUCGGCUAACUCUGUGC
rnacentral:rRNA from 1 species